rnacentral:rRNA from 1 species
GGAGUUAGCCGGUGCUUCUUCUGCGAGUAACGUCACAGAUGUAAGGUAUUAACUUACACCCUUUCCUCCUCGCUGAAAGUGCUUUACAACCCGAAGGCCUUCUUCACACACGCGGCAUGGCUGCAUCAGGGUUUCCCCCAUUGUGCAAUAUUCCCCACUGCUGCCUCCCGUAGGAGUCUGGGCCGUGUCUCAGUCCCAGUGUGGCUGAUCAUCCUCUCAGACCAGCUAGGGAUCGUCGCCUAGGUGAGCCUUUACCUCACCUACUAGCUAAUCCCACCUGGGCUUAUCCAUCAGCGCAAGGCCCGAAGGUCCCCUGCUUUCCCCCGUAGGGCGUAUGCGGUAUUAGCAGUCGUUUCCAACUGUUAUCCCCCACAAAUGGGCAAAUUCCCCAGGCAUUACUCACCCGUCCGCCGCUCGUCAUCUUCAAAAGCAAGCUUUUGAAAUGUUACCGCUCGACUUGCAUGUGUUAGGCCUGCCGCCAGCGUUCAAUCUGAGCCAUGAUCAAACUCUGA